AAGGUACGACAGAUAGUUGCUGGUGACAUCAUGUCACGAGAGGAAAGUCCGGGCUACAUGCAAGACAGGGCUCCAUCUAACUGAUGGCCGGAGUAAUCCGAGGGCAAGUGCAACAGAAAGUAGACUUCCACGUAAGUGGUAAAGGUGAAACGGUGGGGUAAGAGCCCACCAGUGCCUGUGGUAACAUGGGCAGCUAGGUAAACCCUUCCCGUAGCAAGAAGUACAUGGUAAUAAGUCUUGCUAACGCCGCUCGAUCGGCAAAAGUACUUCGCUUGAGCGUACUGGCAACAGUACGCCUAGAUAAAUAACUAUCCAAGACAGAACCCGGCUUAUGGCGUACCUUUCUA
rnacentral:RNase_P_RNA from 1 species